rnacentral:rRNA from 1 species
GAUGAACGCUAGCUACAGGCUUAACACAUGCAAGUCGAGGGGAAACGACAUCGAAAGCUUGCUUUUGAUGGGCGUCGACCGGCGCACGGGUGAGUAACGCGUAUCCAACCUGCCCACCACUUGGGGAUAACCUUGCGAAAGUAAGACUAAUACCCAAUGAUAUCUCUAGAAGACAUCUGAAAGAGAUUAAAGAUUUAUCGGUGAUGGAUGGGGAUGCGUCUGAUUAGCUUGUUGGCGGGGUAACGGCCCACCAAGGCAACGAUCAGUAGGGGUUGUGAUGAGAAGGCCCCCCACAUUGGAACUGAGACACGGCACAAACUCCAAGGGGCGGAAGCAGUGAGGAAGAUUGGUCAAUGGACGAGAGUCUGACCCAGCCAAGUAGCGUGCAGGAUGACGGCCCUAUGGGUUGUAAACUGCUUUUAUAAGGGAAUAAAGUGAGUCUCGUGAGGCUUUUUGCAUGUACCUUAUGAAUAAGGACCGGCUAAUUCCGUGCCAGCCGCCGCCGUAA